AUUGAACGCUGGCGGAAUGCUUUACACAUGCAAGUCGAACGGCAGCACGGACUUCGGUCUGGUGGCGAGUGGCGAACGGGUGAGUAAUACAUCGGAACGUGCCCGGACGUGGGGGAUAACUACUCGAAAGAGUGGCUAAUACCGCAUACGAUCCAAGGAUGAAAGCGGGGGAUCGCAAGACCUCGCGCGUUUGGAGCGGCCGAUGGCAGAUUAGGUAGUUGGUGAGGUAAAGGCUUACCAAGCCUGCGAUCUGUAGCUGGUCUGAGAGGAUGAUCAGCCACACUGGGACUGAGACACGGCCCAGACUCCUACGGGAGGCAGCAGUGGGGAAUUUUGGACAAUGGGCGAAAGCCUGAUCCAGCCAUUCCGCGUGCAGGAUGAAGGCCCUCGGGUUGUAAACUGCUUUUCCAGGGAGAGAAACUUACGCACGUGUUGCGUGACUGACGGUACCCUGGGAAUAAGCAUCGGCUAACUCCGUGCCAGCACGG
rnacentral:rRNA from 1 species